AGGCGGUUCUCUAAGUCGGAUGUGAAAACUCUGGGCUCAACCCGGAGCCUGCAUCCGAAACUGGAGGGCUAGAGUUCUGGAGGGGGUAGCGGAAUUCCUGGUGUAGCGGUGAAAUGCGUAGAUAUCAGGAGGAACACCGGUGGCGAAGGCGGCUACCUGGACAGAAACUGACGCUGAGGCACGAAAGCUAGGGGAGCAAACA
rnacentral:rRNA from 1 species